rnacentral:tRNA from 1 species
GGUUGGACGGUGUAGUUGGUUAUCACGUAUGCUUCACACGCAUAAGGUCCCCGGUUCGAGCCCGGGUUCGAUCA